GUGCGUCAUAUAAUACAAGACGUACAUGGCUCUUCAGUAGAAAGAAAUUCAGCAGAAGACAAAUUGACUGUGGAGUCGGAACAUUUUUAGGGGGCAUUUUCCUACAUGUCAGGGUAUCUGCUCACCUUAUCCCGCGGUUUGAUGUAUUUGUGCAGCACGCCACAGAGUUUGUUGUAGUCUCCAUACCACUCAAACGCCUUCUCUCCUCUCUUCUUGAAGAAGCGUUCCCAGUACUCUGCAGAACUGAACUCCUCGGCAGUGCGAGGUAGAAGACUCAUCUUUAACACUUGCUAGGUCUAUAUCAGUAGCUAGCUUGCUACUUGUAAACAAACUAACGUUAGAAUACUUUCGAUUAGCUUUGAACAAGCUAGCUAAGAUUCAGGAACAUGCAGGACAUUAUACAUGUGUAACGGUAGCAAUUGGUAGAUUGUCAAUUGGUCGAAAAACGUAUUAUCAAGCUAGAAAUGCUUGGAUUUUCAGCCCCUAUCUUUCCCACAUGGUAUGUUCACCCGGACAUUAUUCCGAGCUGUACACAACUACAUUUCGAUUGGAUAGCUCUGAAUAGGCGGAGUUCCUAGUCUAAUGCUGAUUAGCUGAGAUUCUUGACAGAAGCCUGUCAUUGUCUGAUGUGGAAUCGGAUGCCUUUGCGACCCGGCGAGUUCUGGUCCGUUGGUGAUUAUCUUCCGGACAACAAGAGGUAUCAACAUGGCUGUCCCAACCGGGAGAUCUGUGGUCUUCGUGACUGGCAACGCAAAUAAACUAGAAGAGGCCUCACUCCCCCCUAUCUGAGAUAUCUACUGCAGCCCUGAUCCUCCACAUACAACACCCGUUCUGCUGCAACAAACACUCAAACUGGACUGGUAGGGAGUGGGCAAUUUUGUUACGUUUUUCCACUCACCAGGUUUAUUCCGAAAAAUGUAUGUCCUCACUCUGGUAGCCUAUGGACAAACAUUAAGAAUAAGCUACGUGGGGAUUCAGAUCCUGGGGGACAAGUUUCCCUACAAACUAGUGUCCAAGAAGAUUGACUGUGAGUACACCUUAUCAAUGGUUCCUGAAUAAACUGAAGCCAGAAGGAUCCUAUGGUUCUAAUGAUGAACUUAGCCUUAAGAUGCCUUUGGGCAUCGGCCCAGGUCAGUUUAAGAUGCUGGCUGGGUUUGAGGACAAGUCGGCCUGGGCUUUGUGUACCUUUGCCUUCUGUCCAGGGAAAGAGGAACCGGUACAACUCUUCAGAGGGAUAACUGAGGUAAGAAUAUCACACACACACACACCACACUGAACAUCUCUGCAUGCUUGCUCUAAUAUACAGUACCAGUCAAAGGUUUGGACACACCUACCCAUUCCAGGGUUUUUCUUUAUUUUUAAU